GACGAACGCUGGCGGCGUGCUUAACACAUGCAAGUCGAGCGGUAAGGCCCUUUCGGGGGUACACGAGCGGCGAACGGGUGAGUAACACGUGGGUGACCUGCCCUCAGCUCUGGGAUAAGCCCGUGGGAAACCGGGUCUAAUACUGGAUAUGACUCCAUGACGCAUGUUGUGGGGUGGAAAGCCUUGUGCGGCUGGAGGAUGGGGCCCGCGGCCUAUCAGCUUGUUGGUGGGGUGANGGGCCUACCAAGGCGACGACGGGUAGCCGGCCUGAGAGGGCGACCGGCCACA
rnacentral:rRNA from 1 species